rnacentral:rRNA from 1 species
UGGUGGAGUGAUUUGUCUGGUUAAUUCCGAUAACGAACGAGACCUUAACCUGCUAAAUAGCUACGCAAACGCAAGUUUGUGAGAGCUUCUUAGAGGGACUGACUACAACCAGUAGUUGGAAGUUUGAGGCAAUAACA